rnacentral:rRNA from 1 species
CCUACGGGAGGCAGCAGUGAGGAAUAUUCGUCAAUGGACGAGAGUCUGAACCAGCCACGCAGCGUGAAUGAUGACUGCCCUAUGGGCUGUAAACUUCUUUUAUAUGGGAAUAAAAUGUUCCACGUGUGGGUUUUUGUAUGUACCAUAUGUAUCAGGAUCGGCUAACUCCGUGCCAGCAGCCGCGGUAAUACGGUGGAUCCGAGGGUUAUCCGGAUUUAUUGGGUUGAAAGUGAGCGUAGGUGGUUUGUUAAGUCAGUUGUGAAAGUUUGCGGCUCAACCGUAAAAGUGCAGUUGAAACUGGGAGUCUUGAGUACAGAAGAGGAGAGCGGAAGUCGAGGUGUAGCGGUGAAAUGCUUAGAUAUCACGAAGAACACCAGUGGCGAAAGCAGCUCACUGGACUGCAACUGACACUGAGGUUCGAAAGUGUGGGUAGCAAACAGGAUUAGAUACCCUGGUAGUC